rnacentral:snRNA from 1 species
GGCUGUGAGGGCAAGCUGGCUGCGACAUUUGUCACUCCAUUGGUCUCCAGGGCUGAUUGGGCUGACCUGGCUGGCUAAGCAAGUGUCCCCUUCCUCCCUCACAGUUCCACGUGCAUCCCUCCCCAAGCUACACACUCAGUCGAAGAGGACGACCUCCCUGAUGGAGGAGAACCAUUCUUCGGUCAAGGGUGUAUGAGUAGCUGUACUCAUCUGCUAGAACCUCCAAAUGAGCUCUCAAGUGAAAGCUAAUUAGCUAAACUUUAUUUUAUUUUAUUUUAUUUUAUUUUA